rnacentral:misc_RNA from 1 species
CGAGGCUCUUGGAGAUCCUAAUGGAUCUAGUGGCCGUUUGGUCCCACUUCCGGUUUCUUCAUUAGAAGGCUUGGAGGAAGAGCACCUUGUCUUUGGUGAUAUUGAUGAUGGUUACGACACUGUAGGCAGAUACACGGAGUCCACUUCUUCAGAUUAUAAGAAAAAAGAAGAUUACCCCCCUGCAUCUUCAAGCUCUCUUGAUAUCAACGACUACCGAGUACCGAACUAUGAAUCUUGUCCUACUCUGGCCAAGUCCAUCCAAAGUGAUCUGCCGAUUGUUGCAGAUGGAAGAAAACUCAGAACUGUAUUAAGCAAUGUUGACAUUCCUGCCAUAGUUCAGGGUAAUGAAGUUAUGCGGAUGGGCAGAUCUUUACCCAAUAUGUGGUCUCAAAAAAAUGUUUGUCCUUCUAAUCCUGAGGAUUUACAUUCAUCAAUUGUACUACAGACAACAGAAGUUGCUGAGUUCACGGAGGAGGUGAAAAAUAUUUCAGCCACCCCAGAAAUUGAAAGAGAUCCUAGACCCAUUAAUUCAUUGGGUAGUAGUAGCAGCUGGAGAUCAUGGUCUUUUGCUUUCAAGAGAUCAAGAAGCAUGAAAAAUUCUGGCGUGUCCAUGGAUGAAGAUGUAAAUACUGCUAAGGAUAUUUCAAAAAACACAGGUGGUGAUAGAGAAGAAGAUGUGCCAAGGCCAAAGAUUCCUAAGAAGAAAAUAAUGGUAAACACUCCAGAACCUGAACAGCUGGCUACUUUGAAUCUGAAGGAGGGAAAGAACAUAGUUGUUUUCACAUUCUCGACUGCAAUGCUGGGGAAACAGCAGGUUGAUGCAUGUAUAUAUUUGUGGAGAUGGGACUCAAAAGUUGUAAUAUCUGAUGUUGAUGGAACAAUUACAAGAUCUGAUGUUCUAG